CACAGUUGUUUCUGUGCUCCCUCUUAGUGCUCUGAAAUCUUGGGCUCCUCUCCCUCUUGAUUGCUGGCUGAAAAUCUUGGCUUGGCACUCCCAAGCUGCACACCACAGCUCUGGGACAAUCUCAAGCUUUAUAUCCCUUCCCAUCUUGGAGGAAUCAGAGGAAGGAAAGUUAGCAGUGGUUGUGACAGAGGGUUUUUCACUUGUCUCUUGGAGCUCCACCUCAGAAAGACGCAGAGCUGCUAUCAAUCAGUAUGAUUGGCCUAGGAUGGGGCAGCUGUGCUGUGAGACCAACCCAUGGCAGACAUCCAGCUGAUCACACUGUGUCCACAUAAGGCAAAUGCUGAGCUGUAAUCCAUCAAGCUGUUUCCGCAUAGAGAAAAGGCCAUAUGAGUACACAGCCAGAAGGUGUCUGCCUACAAGACAAAGAGGGAAAACUUACCUGAAACCAACCCUGAUGGAUAUUGGAUUUCUAAGCUCCAGAACUAAAAGAAUCAGUUUUAGAUUCUUCCGUCACUACAUUUGCUGCCUCGUACAUUUAAUAUGAUGCUCCAAAAUGAGAAAACUGACAAGCAAGCAGAACAGACAUAAUUGCCUGAGAUUUAACUUCAGAAAGCAAAACUAAGUUUCCAAAAUAUCAAAAAUAUUUUAAGUGUUGUUGUAUUUGUUGUUAUAUUAAUACAUGAUUUGGUUUUAUUGAAAUAAAAUAAUAAAUUUUGUAUGUUCAAGUAUCACUUUUCUUCUGCCUUUAUCAAAUUUCUAAAUUGCUUGCAGGUGCAGCUACAUUCACAACAAAUUCCUUUCCUUGAGGUUAUUCUAAUGGCUCCAAUAAGAGAAAAAAAAUCUUCCUCCUAUUACACUGUAUUAAUG
rnacentral:lncRNA from 10 species